AUUGCACGCUGGCGGCAGGCCUAACACAUGCAAGUCGAGCGAGCGGCGGACGGGUGAGUAAUGCCUGGGAAUUGCCCAGUCGAGGGGGAUAACAGUUGGAAACGACUGCUAAUACCGCAUACGAUUGGAUUGCCCAGGUGGGAUUAGCGAGUUGGUGAGGUAAUGGCUCACCAAGGCGACGAUCCCUAGCCGGUCUGAGAGGAUGACCAUGCACACUUGAACUGAGACACGGUCCAGACUCCUACGGGAGGCAGCAGUGGGGAAUAUUGCACAAUGGGAGAAAGCCUGAUGCAGCCAUGCCGCGUGUGGGAAGAAGGCCUUCGGGUUGUAAAGCACUUUCAGCGAGGAGGCGUUACUCGCAGAAGAAGCACCGGGUAACUCCGUGCCAGCCGCCGCGGUAAUAG
rnacentral:rRNA from 1 species